AAGUCUAUAACGACUCUCGGCAACGGAUAUCUCGGCUCUCGCAUCGAUGAAGAACGUAGCGAAAUGCGAUACUUGGUGUGAAUUGCAGAAUCCCGUGAACCAUCGAGUCUUUGAACGCAAGUUGCGCCCCAAGCCUUCGGGCCGAGGGCACGUCUGCCUGGGUGUCACAA
rnacentral:rRNA from 1 species